CCUACGGGAGGCUGCAGUGAGGAAUAUUGGUCAUUGGGCGCGAGCCUGAACCAGCCAAGUAGCGUGAAGGAUGACUGCCCUACGGGUUGUAAACUUCUUUUAUCAAGGAAUAAAGUGAGGCACGUGUGCCUUUUUGUAUGUACUUUUUGAAUAAGGAUCGGCUAACUCCGUGCCCGCAGCCGCGGUAAUACGGAGGAUCCGAGCGUUAUCCGGAUUUAUUGGGUUUAAAGGGAGCGUAGAUGGGUUGUUAAGUCAGUUGUGAAAGUUUGCGGCUCAACCGUAAAAUUGCAAUUGAAACUGGCAGCCUUGAGUACAGUAGAGGUAGGCGGAAUUCGUGGUGUAGCGGUGAAAUGCUGAGAUAUCACGAAGAACUCCGAUUGCGAAGGCAGCUUACUAAACUGCCACUGACAUUGAUGCUCGAAAGUGUGGGUAUCAAACAGGAUUAGAUACCCGAGUAGUC
rnacentral:rRNA from 1 species